GACGAACGCUGGCGGCGUGCUUAACACAUGCAAGUCGAACGGAAAGGCCCCCUUGUGGGGUCCCCGUGUGGCGAACGGGUGAGUAACACGUGAGUAACCUACCUUUCACUUUGGGAUAACUUACUGCAACAGGGGCUAAUACCGGAUAGGAGCUCCUGCUGCAUGGUGGGGGUUGGAAAGCUUCGGCGGUUGUGGUUGGACUCGCGGGUUAUCAGCUGGUUGGUGGGGUAGUGGCUCACGAAGUCGUUGACGGGUAGCCGGCGUUAGAGGGUGACCGGCAACAUUGGGCCUGCGAGACGGAGCAGUCUGCAAUGGGAGGCAGCAGGGGGGAGUAUGACACAAUGGGCGGACGCGUGAGGCAACGGCGCUGGGUGCGGGAUGUCGGCCUUCGGGGUGUAAACCGCUUUCGCCUGUGACGAAGCGUGCGUGACGGUACUGGGUAAAGAAGCACCGGCUAACUACGUG
rnacentral:rRNA from 1 species